GAUGAACGCUGGCGGCGUGCCUAAUACAUGCAAGUCGAGCGAAUGGAUUAAGAGCUUGCUCUUAUGAAGUUAGCGGCGGACGGGUGAGUAACACGUGGGUAACCUGCCCAUAAGACUGGGAUAACUCCGGGAAACCGGGGCUAAUACCGGAUAACAUUUUGAACCGCAUGGUUCGAAAUUGAAAGGCGGCUUCGGCUGUCACUUAUGGAUGGACCCGCGUCGCAUUAGCUAGUUGGUGAGGUAACGGCUCACCAAGGCAACGAUGCGCAGCCGACCUGAGAGGGUGAUCGGCCACACGGGGACUGAGGACCGGCCCAGACUCCUACGGGAGGCAGCAGUAGGGAAUCUUCCGCAAUGGACGAAAGUCUGACGGAGCAACGCCGCGUGAGUGAUGAAGGCUUUCGGGUCGUAAAACUCUGUUGUUAGGGAAGAACAAGUGCUAGUUGAAUAAGCUGGCACCUUGACGGUACCUAACCAGAAAGCCACGGCUAACUACGUGCCAGCAGCCGCGGUAA
rnacentral:rRNA from 1 species